AAUAAAGUGCCUGAUUAAAGGAUUAUUCUGAUAGGAUAAAUUAAGUAGAAUAUCUACCUUUAUUA
rnacentral:tRNA from 1 species